GAGGGUGUAACUCCAUGGUGGAGCAUGUGCUUAGCAAGCACAAGGUCCUGGGUUCAAUCCCCAGUGCCUCCA
rnacentral:tRNA from 1 species